rnacentral:rRNA from 1 species
GACGUAGGGCGCGAGCGUUGUCCGGAUUUAUUGGGCGUAAAGAGCUCGUAGGCGGCUUGUCGCGUCGUUCGUGAAAACCCGGGGCUCAACUCCGGGCUUGCGGGCGAUACGGGCAGGCUAGAGUUCGGUAGGGGAGACUGGAAUUCCUGGUGUAGCGGUGAAAUGCGUAGAGAUCAGGCGGAACACCCGUGGCGAAGGCGGCCAGCUGGGCCGUCCCUGACGCUGAGGCGCGAAGGCGUGGGGAGCGAACGGG